rnacentral:lncRNA from 1 species
GAGAGACUUUUGUAAUUUGAAAAAUGAUUCGGUACUUUAUUAUUAAAAAAAUAAAAUAGAUCUUAACUGUUGAUUAAUAGAGGGUAAAGAUGUAAUUUUAACAUUUAGCAGGUAAAAAUGUUACAGCAUUCGAGGUUAUUUUGGUAAUUAAACUAUGGAGCAUUUAAAGAAAUUUUUAAUUGGUAUCCUAAAUUUAUGUAUUAAUUUGCACUAAUUUGAAAAAUGAUUGAU